AAACUUUCAACAACGGAUCUCUUGGUUCCAGCAUCGAUGAAGAACGCAGCGAAAUGCGAUAAGUAAUGUGAAUUGCAGAAUUCCGUGAAUCAUCGAAUCUUUGAACGCACAUUGCGCCUUUUGGUAUUCCGAAAGGCAUGCCUGUCCGAGCGUCAUU
rnacentral:rRNA from 1 species